rnacentral:rRNA from 1 species
ACGCUGGCGGCAGGCCUAACACAUGCAAGUCGAGCGGUAGAGAGAAGCUUGCUUCUCUUGAGAGCGGCGGACGGGUGAGUAAUGCCUAGGAAUCUGCCUGGUAGUGGGGGAUAACGUUCGGAAACGGACGCUAAUACCGCAUACGUCCUACGGGAGAAAGCAGGGGACCUUCGGGCCUUGCGCUAUCAGAUGAGCCUAGGUCGGAUUAGCUAGUUGGUGGGGUAAUGGCUCACCAAGGCGACGAUCCGUAACUGGUCUGAGAGGAUGAUCAGUCACACUGGAACUGAGACACGGUCCAGACUCCUACGGGAGGCAGCAGUGGGGAAUAUUGGACAAUGGGCGAAAGCCUGAUCCAGCCAUGCCGCGUGUGUGAAGAAGGUCUUCGGAUUGUAAAGCACUUUAAGUUGGGAGGAAGGGUUGUAGAUUAAUACUCUGCAAUUUUGACGUUACCGACAGAAUAAGCACCGGCUAACUCUGUGCCAGCAGCCGCGGUAAUACAGAGGGUGCAAGCGUUAAUCGGAAUUACUGGGCGUAAAGCGCGCGUAGGUGGUUUGUUAAGUUGGAUGUGAAAUCCCCGGGCUCAACCUGGGAACUGCAUUCAAACUGACUGACUAGAGUAUGGUAGAGGGUGGUGGAAUUUCCUGUGUAGCGGUGAAAUGCGU